AACGAACGCUGGCGGCAUGCCUAACACAUGCAAGUCGAACGAGACCUUCGGGUCUAGUGGCGCACGGGUGCGUAACGCGUGGGAACCUGCCCUUAGGUUCGGAAUAACUCCCCGAAAGGGGUGCUAAUACCGGAUAAUGUCUUCGGACCAAAGAUUUAUCGCCUUUGGAUGGGCCCGCGUUGGAUUAGCUAGUUGGUAGGGUAAAAGCCUACCAAGGCGACGAUCCAUAGCUGGUCUGGGAGGAUGAUCAGCCACACUGGGACUGAGACACGGCCCAGACUCCUACGGGAGGGGGCAGUAGGGAAUAUUGGACGAUGAGAGAAAGCCUGAACCAGCAAUGCCGCGUGAGUGAUGAAGGUCUUGGUGUGGUGUAGCUCGUAUUCCCGAGAUGAUAAUGACAGUGCCGGGUGAAUAAGCUCCGGCUAACUCCGUG
rnacentral:rRNA from 1 species